rnacentral:rRNA from 1 species
AUGCCAUUUUUGCUCAGCAAUGUCUUGCUGAAACCUGUAGGAGGAGCUUUAUUCGGGAAGGGCUGGUUUCACAUUCCAUACUGGUUCGUCUGGUUAUAUAUAAUCUUACAUUUGCAUGCAAUUCCUAGCCAUGCAUAUAUGGCAUUGUCAGAGUUGGAACAAGAUGAGACCGGCAAAGUACAAAGGUGGGAUUGGUUUUUCCGUCACGAGGGCCUUCAACCAAGCUUUGCUAGUUUCUUGAAAACUUGCUUCAGAUAUGAAACUUUGGGAGGGCUCUAUGAGGAAACUUCCCAAAGAAAGCUUUCUAGUUGUCUCAGGGUGGGGCCUUGGCUCAAUCUUGUCGAUUCUACUAGACAUGAUCUCUUACAAGAAGAAAAUAAUCUUCAAAUUUGA